rnacentral:lncRNA from 1 species
UUCUCCGACUCCCUUUCCAGCUGUGGAGAUCUCUGAAUUCUGCCAGAACCAUUCCUGUCCUGUGAAUUACUGCUAUAACCAUGGCCAUUGCGACAUCUCUGGGCCUCCAGACUGCCAGCCCACUUGCACCUGCGCCCCUGCCUUCACUGGUAACCGCUGCUUCCUGGCCGGGAACAAUUUCACUCCCAUCAUCUAUAAAGAGCUUCCCUUGAGGACCAUCACGCUCUCUCUCAGGGAGGACGAAAACGCCUCUAACGCUGACGUCAAUGCCUCGGUCAGUGCUGGGCUCCUGGUGGGAAGCGGAUCUUGAAAGGGUCCCACAGGGACUGUGCUGUAGUUUGCACAUCCUUCAGCAACCUUAAUUUCCCAAAGGGGCAGCCUCUUGCCCAGGGGAGGUUCAAGGUUCUGAGAUGUCAGGAAGCUUCAGGGUUAGAGAGU